rnacentral:rRNA from 1 species
GACGUAGGAUGCGAGCGUUGUCCGGAUUCAUUGGGCGUAAAGAGUUCGUAGGCGGUUUGUUAAGUCUGAUGUUAAAUAUUGGGGCCUAACCUCGAGAGUGCAUUGGAUACUGGCAGACUGGAGUGCAGUAGAGGCAAGUGGAAUUCCCAGUGUAGCGGUGAAAUGCGUAGAGAUCCGGAGGAAGACCGGUGGCGAAGGCGGUCUGCUGGGCAGUUUCUGACACUGAUGCGCGACAGCGUGGGGAGCAAACAGG